rnacentral:rRNA from 1 species
GAUGAACGCUGCCAGAAUGCUUAACACAUGCAAGUCAACUGUGGCGGACGGGUGAGUAACGCGUAAAGAACUUGCCUCCCAGUUAGGGACAACAUUUGGAAACGAAUGCUAAUACCUGAUACUGUGAGAGAGCUUUGCGUCCCAUUAGCUAGUUGGAGAGGUAACGGCUCACCAAGGCGAUGAUGGGUAGCCGGCCUGAGAGGGUGAUCGGCCACAAGGGGACUGGGACGCGGCCGUUACUCCUCCGGGAGGAAGGAGUGAGGAAUAUUGGACAAUGGACCAAAGUCUGAUCCAGCAAUUCUGUGUGCACGAUGAAGUUUUCGGAAUGUAAAGUGCUUUCAGUUGGGAAGCGGUACCAACAGAAGAAGUGACGGCUAACUACGUGCCAGCAGCCGCGGUAAUAC